GCGUGCCACGGGGAAUGGGUGUAAACCCUAACCCUAGCUCAUUCUUGUCCCCUUCUCUUCCUGAUUCGGCGUCCGGCGAGCGAGCGAGCGAAUCGGCAGCGAUGUUGUGACGGCGGUCCGGCGAGGCAGCGCGCGCGUGCGGCAGCGAGCGCCGUAGCGGCUCCACCUCGGCUGGCUGGGGGGCGCACCCAAGGGCGGCGCCAAGCCGUGUGCUACGGCGUCGGCGGUCCGGCGAGGCGGCGCACUAGCGACGGCAAGCGUCUAUGCGGCCGGACCUCGUCAGCGGGGGUGCGGAGCCCGAAGGCAGCCGCCAAGCCGACGCUUCCCGUCCCCGGUGAGGGACGGUGGAGAGACAAGCUCCAAGGCGGCGCGCGCACGGCGGUCAACCGGCGCGGCCCCGAGGAGACCGGAGAGCUCCGGCAAGCUUAGGGGGUCUAAAUCCGCACCCAAUAUUUAGCGUCAAAGCCGGACGUAAAACUGGACAUCUAUACUGCAGCGUUCCAAAGUGUACUCUGUUUUGGUUUUGUUACUGAACCUGGCGUUGCCACCUCUCUCUGUUCUAAAUAAACAGUGACGAAAUAAUUACAUUCACAUAGGAUAUUACUGAUACAUUCCGGAAGGUGUAUAGUAGUAGUACUAUCUGCAACUGUGAUUAAGAUCAAGUGGUCAGAGGCUGCAUUAUAUAGUCCAUUUGGCAGAGUAACCAUUUCCCUCCA